CAAGGCCUACCUAUGUAGAUUUUUCUUGGUCUCUCUGAGCAUGCAUUCCUGAGAUUCCAAGAAGAAUCUAGACAAACAGGCCUUG
rnacentral:miRNA from 1 species